CGUCACCAUAGUAAGUGAUUGGCUCAGAUGCAGAAGACAUGAAUGUAUCUACUCAGCAGUUUGGGUCGGUUUUAUUUAUAGUAGUGUACUUCAAUUCCAUGUUUGUACCAUGCAGCUUCUACAGGGAUAGAAAUAGCAAAGGUAGACGCAAAAUAUAUUACGAAGCAACAGCAGUCACUGUGCAAUCCAACCAAACAGAGGUAUACCGUAGUGGAACUGAUAAUGGCGCGGCUCGUGGACACGAUCGUUAUCCCCGCCAGGUGGUGGCAAAUCUACCACUGGCAAAGAAUUUGAAUUUAAAGGCGGAUAGGGCACUUGAAAGAGAGCAUCACAGUUUUACAAAACCCUUCGGUGGUUACAUCGCAUUAGAUUGUGAUACAGAUGUGACGAAGGCCAUAUUUAAACAAUACGCUCGAGCGUCUCGCCAAUGGGUCCAUAAUAAUAAUGCUCUGGAAAUAGAGAAUGAUCGGAUGGUUUAUCAGAUGGGCCUGUUGACUAUUCAAGGUUUAAAAACGUCUGACCAGGGUGUCUUCAUUUGUAGGAUCGAAUACGAACCCAAACAGUUCAAAAGUGUAGCUCUGUUCACUCUCGUUGUCGAAUCAAACGAUUUAAUGCGCGUCCAAGAAACAAGUGUUAUGACGCUACAGUCAAACAGUGCGUCACUUGGAUACAUAUUUCCAUCGGCUACACGAGCCUGGUGGCACAUUGGCAACAUCGUGCGCUCAAAUAUAUCAGCAAGUCAAGCAAGCGAUGACAGAUUCUUGCAUGCAAAUACAAGCAUUGCAGGUUACUGGACAUGUAUUGUGUCACACCAACUGAAAGAUGGAACAAAAAGGACUUGGAAAACAGCUCGGUACGUUGUACACGUAACGCCACCUCCUUCCAAACUAGAACAGAUAUCGACCUACUGUUCCAUGCAUCCUGUUACCAUAGUAAUGUGUGGUUUAGUUAUCGGUGGCUUCAUUCUUGUUCUGUUUGUAGUAUGCGUUAGCCGAGUCGACAAAGAAAAAAUGCAGGCAGAAGAGGAAAUGGACAAAAUGAAAGAACGGUUACUUCCUGGUGAACAAGGUCGUAAGGACGACAACCAUCCCAAUGUAGACCGUAGUUAUAAAGUAUAUCAAGCUGGCCAUGGAUACGACCGUUUUCCUACUCAAGAAAAUGAGCAAGACUAUUACCAAUAUGAACAUGGACACAAUUCCAAUCCUCUGGCAUUUGAAAACGAUGAUGAGUAUAAUUAUACUCAUGAAAACAAACAAGACCAAUAGAAUACACGUGAUAUGAUGACCCAACUCAGUGAUUGAUACAAUAACUGCUUUGUGUUGUUACAACAACACAGUGUGAUUAAUAAAUUGGCGGGUUCCGGUGUAAAUAAAAACAUGUGGAAAGACGUGUAAUGCCUACCUUGCGAUGACUUUAGAGCAAAUAACGACUUUAUCAUAAUCUGGUCACAUGGCAGAACACACUGGAAAUGAGGCAGAAUCUGAUGAAUGGGAGGAAGAGGAGACCACAGUGAUUGUGGAACUGUCCGGUAUUUUAGAGAGUGACUUUAUAUCACAAUGUGACGGAGACUGUAAGGUUCUGGGUAUAGACACAGACAAGCCCCUGCUGCAACUUGACCGGUACACAUUCUCCGGGGAGUACUGUGACACAAUGGGCACAAACCUGAUCUUCACCCAGGAAGAUGAAGU
rnacentral:misc_RNA from 1 species